rnacentral:rRNA from 1 species
UACGGAGGGUGCGAGCGUUGUCCGGAAUCACUGGGCGUAAAGGGCGCGUAGGCGGCGGGCCAAGCGUGCGGUGAAAGCCCGGGGCUCAACUCCGGGUCGGCCGUGCGAACUAGCUCGCUCGAGCACUGUAGAGGCAGAUGGAAUUCCGGGUGUAGCGGUGGAAUGCGUAGAGAUCCGGAAGAACACCGGUGGCGAAGGCGGUCUGCUGGGCAGUGGCUGACGCUGAGGCGCGACAGCGUGGGGAG